GACGUCAUCAUGACGCCAUCAUGUGGGCGUUGCCUUCAAGCUGAGGCAGCAGGUCACGAUGACAGCAAGAGAAAACAGGGGGCGUAUCGAGUUUACGGGGUGGAUGACGUUGCACGGCAGGUCAGUCAGCCAUCUUGGUAGAGGCAGAGAAUACUACUGAGAUUUAUUUGGGCGCAGUAGUGAUCAGUUCCGGGGAAAUCAUCUUGCCGAUUACAGGGAUGUCCCAAAUGAUGAACUCUGCUGUCAAGGCUUUUUCUAAGGCUGGGACACACCUGACCGACCCACCAGCUGACCGAGCGACCAAUUUGCUGAAGGACGGCAUUUCACCCCCUCUUAUUCCCAUUCCUAUACCAACUUCUUGGCACGACGGGAGAAAAGCAGAAGGGUGUAUGUAACAGGAUCUCAGCUUCUAUUAUAAUAAUCACAAGAUUACUACAUGUUGGUUGGUAUGACAAUUGGUGGCUCCAGAGCAAGGUUUUAUUAAAGUGAUCCAUAUGAUUCAAACCUCUGUAUACCCCUAUAUUUGGGUUACAUAUGGAUAAAUGACGAUCACUCACACACAAUUUUCAAAGGUGUUUAUUUCACCUUACCACAGGAUACCUCUAAUCUAAAGCCAAUUUCCUGAAAGACAUAUCUUCUCUGCAAACUGUGGCCUUGCUCUGCUGUUGACGACUUGGCAAUACCUACAACCAUACCACAUUAUAAAUUCUCAAUUUCAUCAGGUGUUGUAGGCAAGUAUCUGUAUUGUCAUUAGCAGUAAGGAUUUCAGUGCACGGCUUCUGUCUGAUGAAAUUUAUGCAUAUAUGCGAAAAUGUUGGGAUAAUUUCCUGUAAGAUUUUCACCAAAAGCGUGUUUAUAUAAGGUGGACAAAUUUCUUUACAAAUUGCCCUAAACUCUUUGGGCUUAUUAUUUAUUUGCGUUUAUUUCCAUAUUCUGAGUGCGUUGC